AAACAAACAAACAAAAAAAAAAUUGACGAAGACAAAAUAAAACGUAAGAUGAUAGACUACACAAUUGCUAUGACGUGUUAGAUUUUCUCGAGAAAAUCGUAAGAUAUAUAGAGAACAUUAAUCAAUCUUGAAUCAGGGGAGAAGCAUAAAGAUUUGAGGAUUAAACCUUCUCUAAUGAAUAAUCUACUAGGUCUCCUCCGUAUUCGCAUCAAACGCGGUGUCAACCUCGCAGUCCGUGAUCUCCACAGUAGUGAUCCUUACGUCGUUGUCAAAAUGGGAAAACAGAAAUUGAAGACUCGAGUUAUUUACCAUAAUGUAAAUCCUGAGUGGAAUGAAGAUUUGACUCUCUCAGUUACCGACCCCAAUCUUACUGUCCUUUUGACGGUGUAUGAUCACGACACGUUCACCAAAGACGACAAGAU